AUACUUAAAUGGCACGGGAAAUACCACAAUCAAGAGGGUGGCUUCCCCAGGAUGAAGCUCUUCCAUCGUAAUCUUCGGUUGGGUAGACCCCUGUGAUUUCCCCAAAUGUGGAAAACUUAACUGCAUAAUUUAUGAUAAUGGGGAACUGCAUAGAUGCAGUCUUCC